rnacentral:snRNA from 1 species
AUCGCUUCUCGGCUUUUUGGCUAAGAUCAAGUCCUCUAUUCAAGGACAAUAUAUUAAAUGGAUUUUUGGAGCAGGGAGAUGGAAUAGGAGCUUGCUCCGCCCAUUCCACGCAUCGACCUGGUAUUGCAGUGCUUCCAGGAACGGUGCACCCCCU